rnacentral:rRNA from 1 species
AGCUCCAAUAGCGUAUAUUAAAGUUGUUGCAGUUAAAAAGCUCGUAGUUGGAUUUCGGAAUGGGCCAGUUGGUCCGCCGCAAGGUGAGUUACUGACUGGUUUGUUCUUCUUCGCAAAGACUGCGUGUGCUCUUUACUGAGUGUACGUAGGAUUUACGACGUUUACUUUGAAAAAAUUAGAGUGUUCAAAGCAGGCUAUCGCUUGAAUACAUGAGCAUGGAAUAAUGGAAUAGGACUUUGGUACUAUUUUGUUGGUUUCUAGGACCGAAGUAAUGAUUAAGAGGGACAAUUGGGGGCAUCCGUAUUUCGUUGUCAGAGGUGAAAUUCUUGGAUUUACGAAAGACGAACAACUGCGAAAGCACAUGCCAAGAGUGUUUUCA